UUCUGCCUUUUGUAGAGUCUGGAUCUCCUGUCCAGUGUUCUGUUCUAAUGCCAUCAUUGAAGAUUCACAGAAGUACAUGCCUGUUUCUUGGCCACACUAGCACAAAGAGGUGAAGAAAGCAUGGAAGCCCACAUUACUGGAUCAAGAAGCCAGCCACACAGUCACAGGUGGGAUGAUGGAUAAUAAAGGACAUUUGCUGGAUGUGGGCCACUCCAUUCACUAAACUGUUAAGGAAGUUCAUGAACUUAUUAUUUUGAAAAGACUUCUUCAAUUUCCCUCAUGUAUAUAAAUAAUAACUGAUCUCAUCAUCCUGUUCAAGAUGAUCUCAGACAUAGGCACAGAUUACAUCCUUCUCUGCCUUCUCCUGAGAAGUUUUUGGUGAAGACACAGACCACACACCUUCAUGAUGAGUUGUAAUCAUCAUUUCACAUCUAACAUGUAUCAAUCACCCCACCUGUAUUCACCUGUCACUUCAGUGAGGUACAUAUUGUUUCUACUGUGUAUCGAAUACAUUCAUUUACUCUUCCAUCUCUGGACAUUCCAGUAUAUGAGGUAAAGCAAGAUCCAGUUAUAUGCACAAAAGAAAGGAGCAUUCCAUUUUUCUUGAUCACAAAACGAGCAACGUUGAAAGGGCAGAAAACAGAGUGUCUCAGAGGUGUGUCUAUCCAAGAGGCCACAACAAAACUUAGGACAUGACAACUGUCCAUAA